GGCCUGACACCAGAUCAUUAUAAACAACUAAAAGAGUGCAUUAUAAGUGCAGGAUUUAACGUGGAGCGUUUGCUUUGCUGCAUCAGGUACGUUCACAGUGCUCCUGUGAUGUGUUUUGCGGUUGACCGAGUGAAAUGUUGUCUGUUCUCAUCGCAUUACUUUCUACGGUAUGAAUUUUCUUCAAGGACGUUGUCAAGAAUUUGAUUUGAUGUUGACAGAGAUGAAGGUUUGACCGAUUUCACGUCAAGCACAGGAGGAGUGCCGUCAAAUCCAGCAGUGAAGAUGAACAUCUAAGGGGACUCCCACAAUGGCUUGAGUACUAAUGCUGCUCGGAUAUGCUGUGUGUGUAGGUCUCAUUGCAUUUCAGUCUUUACUUAUUUUCUUCUUUUACAUAAAGUUA